rnacentral:lncRNA from 1 species
AAAAGUCUAAUGAGUACAGAAGGGAAUGCAAACUGGGUGGAUCUGUAAAGGUAAACUUCAAAUACCAGUCCAAGAAUUCAGUGCUUUCUUAUUUUUAGUAUUCUGUACUUUAAAAUAUAUCACUUUAGUAGCAUUUGGUUUCAUUUUUCUCUUUUCGCCAGCGGCUCUGUUAGCUCUUCGUUAAAUCAUGGGUAAACUUCAAAUAUCCCCCAUGUGGUUUCACAUUUCUCACUUUAGUACCCUAUGGUUUAAAGUAUAUCAAGGUAGUCCAUGUGGUUUCGCACUUUCUCACUUUAAUACCCUAUGGUUUAAAGUGUAUCAAGUUAGUACCCUGUGGUUUCAUUUUUGUCUUUUUAUUAUCCAUUUCACUAAUUUUUUUCGUUAAAUCAGUAACAAAGUUAAAAUUAAAGAGUACUAAAGUGAAUAUUUGAUAAACCUAGGUAGGGCAUUGGAAGUUUUUUUGUAUAUAAUUUAACAAAAUAUUAACAGAGGAAAAAAAAUAAGCGAAAAAGUUAAAAUUAAAGGGUACUUAAGUAAAUAUUUAAUAAACCUAGGUAGGGUAUCUGAAGUUUUUUGUAUAUAAUAUAACGAAAUAUUAAGAGAGAAGCCGACGAAAAGAGAAAAAUGAAACCACAUGGUACUAAAGUGAGAAAGUGCGAAACUACGAGGUACUAAAUUGAUACACUUUAAACCACAGGGUACUAAAAUAAAAAAGUGCGAAACCACAGGAUACUAAAUUGAUACACUUUAAACCACAUGGUACUAAAGUAAAAAAGUGCGCAACCAUGGGGGGUGAUAUUUGAAGUUUUUUCUUAAAUUAUAUAUAAAAAAAAAAAUUCAGAUACCCUCUCCCACCCCACCCCACCUCACCCCACCCCAUUUAUGGUUUAUUGAAUAUUCACUUUAGUAUCAUGUAAUUUACCGAAUUUUUAUUUUAGUAUCCUGUGGUUUUAACUUUGCCACUGAUUUAACGAAAAAAUUAACUGAGAGGAUAACGGAAAGAGAAAAAUGAGAAAGCGAUAUGUUUUAAACCACAGAGUACUAGAGUGAAAAAAAAGUGAAACCACAAAGUUGGUAUUAUUUUAAAUUCUGGAAUGU